CCUGCCCUUGACCCGUCCCCACGCAGGGACGCAGAGCCUGUGUGACAGCUCCUCCAGGGCACAGCCCUUGCUAAGGGCCGUUCCUUCAUCACCCCAAGGGCCCUGCGUCUCCCACGGCUCUGGGGUCCUCCCUCUUACACACACCUCCCAGGCUGGCAAUUCCACCCGGAGCCAGGAGAAGCAGCGACUUCAAGGACGCUCCUCAGCGUGGAACGAGAGGCAAUGUCACCCCUGGAGAGGAGUGGAGCUCUCAGCCUGCUGGCCAGCACACCGUAUCCCUCCCUCCAGGAAAGACCCAGGUUUCCACGGGCUGAGUGUGUAUGCGCACACGUGUCACGUGCAUGUCUGGUCAUCGCCUUCUGAGCGGUGUCCUGCUCCAGAAAAAUGGGGAGCCAGGAAGGCGGCCUCCCUGCCCCCCCAACAAAGGCCCCCAGUGUCCCGCUCCAGAGAGGGAUGAGGACCCCAGCCCUCAGCCGCAGCUGCCCGGUGCCGUGACACCCGGGCAACGGCCACCCUGAGCUGGAGGUGCAAAGCCAAGAUGAUUUAAUUUAUAGAAAGGACAAGGAUGUCGUGUAGCAGAUUUAAUCAUCGGAGAGUUUAAAAAAAAAUAAGGACCGGGCUAAUGUCGUAAUUUACAUUUCAGGAUAAUAAAGAGAGAAAGACAGAAAAGGAAGGGCCCAUAAGCCUGCAAGAGGCAGUCAGGAGGGGAGGCCAACCAGGGGGCUGAGGGAGCCCAAUAGAUUUGCCUGAAACACCAAUAAAUUUAAAAACAAACCCAGAAAGCUAAAGACAGCCCCUGGAAAGUGCUGGGAAAAUGGACCAUCGAUUUUAGAGUUGAUCUGCAUUUUGUAUUUUAAUAAUGCUCUCUCUGUCUUUCCUUUUCUCUCUCUCCCUCUCUCCCUCUCUCGCUCUCUCUCUCUUUUGCAAAAUAUAAAAGCUGAUCUGAUAAAUAUUAAUUUGAACCA